rnacentral:rRNA from 1 species
UGGGGAAUAUUGGACAAUGGGGGCAACCCUGAUCCAGCCAUGCCGCGUGCGUGAAGAAGGCCUUAGGGUUGUAAAGCGCUUUCAGCGGGGACGAUGAUGACGGUACCCGCAGAAGAAGCCCCGGCUAACUCCGUGCCAGCAGCCGCGGUAAUACGGAGGGGGCAAGCGUUGUUCGGAAUUACUGGGCGUAAAGGGCGCGUAGGCGGCACAUCAAGUCAGAGGUGAAAGCCCCGGGCUCAACCUGGGAAUUGCCUUUGAAACUGAUGAGCUAGAGUCCGGAAGAGGAUAGCGGAAUUCCCAGUGUAGAGGUGAAAUUCGUAGAUAUUGGGAGGAAUACCGGUGGCGAAGGCGACCGCCUGGACGGGUACUGACACUGAGGCGCGAAAGCGUGGGGAGCAAACAGGAUUAGAUACCCGCGUAGUCC